AGAAAUACAGCUCAGUAGUAGAGCACUUGCCUCGCAUGCAUGAGGCCCUGGGUUUGAUCCCUAGUACUG
rnacentral:tRNA from 1 species